CAGCCGUAAAACGAUGCGCGUUAGGUGUAUCGGUGACCACGAGUCACCGAGGUGCCGAAGGGAAACCGUGAAACGUGCCGCCUGGGAAGUACGGUCGCAAGGCUGAAACUUAAAGGAAUUUGGCGGGGGAGCACCACAACGGGUGGAGCCUGCGGUUUAAUUGGACUCAACGCCGGGAAGCUCACCGGAUAAGACAGCGGAAUGAUUGCCGGGCUGAAGACUCUGCAUGACCAGCUGAGAGGAGGUGCAUGGCGUAGUCGUGU
rnacentral:rRNA from 1 species